AGUACAGGUGACCAUCGCAUACGCACAUAGCGCCGCGUAGACGUUCGGUCACGACGGUAUGGCGAGCUUUCGCCGUCCACGUUUCUCUUUCUUUCAAGAAGACACAAAACCUGCGUCGAGCCGGUUCCCCGAAUGGGCCCGUAGCUCAGUUGGUUAGAGCACACGCNUGAUAAGCGUGGG
rnacentral:misc_RNA from 1 species